rnacentral:rRNA from 1 species
GACGAACGCUGGCGGCGUGCCUAAUACAUGCAAGUCAAACGCAGUGGGGACGGGUGAGUAACACGUGGCUAACCUCCCAUCAGAGGGGAUAACACUUGGACACAGGUGCUAAACCGAUACUGAUGGAUGGACCCGCGGUGCAUUAGCUAGUUGGUGAGGUAACGGCUCACCAAGGCCACGAUGCAUAGCUGGACUGGGAGGGUGAUCGCCAAAACUGGGAUUGAGACACGGCCCAGACUCCUACGGGAGGCAGCAGUAGGGAAUGUUCGACAAGGGACGAAAGUCUGACCAGGCAACGCCGCGGGAGGGAAGAAGGUUUUCGGUUUGUAAGACUCUGUUGUUAGGGAAGCGGUAUCUAACCAGAAAGCCACGGCUAACUACGUGCCAGCAGCCGCGGUAAUAC